rnacentral:rRNA from 1 species
UACGUAGGGUGCGAGCGUUAAUCGGAAUUACUGGGCGUAAAGCGUGCGCAGGCGGUUUUGUAAGCCAGAUGUGAAAUCCCCGGGCUUAACCUGGGAAUGGCAUUUGGGACUGCAAGGCUGGAGUGCGGCAGAGGAGACUGGAAUUCCUGGUGUAGCAGUGAAAUGCGUAGAUAUCAGGAGGAACACCGGUGGCGAAGGCGGGUCUCUGGGCAAUUCCUGACGCUGAGGCGCGAAAGCGUGGGGAGCAAACGGG